rnacentral:tRNA from 1 species
GGGGCUGAGGUUCAGUGGUAGAGCACAUGCUUAGUAUGCAUGAAGCCCUGGGUUCAGUCCCU